rnacentral:rRNA from 1 species
GACGAACGCUGGCGGCGUGCUUAACACAUGCAAGUCGAACGGAAAGGCCCUGCUUUUGUGGGGUGCUCGAGUGGCGAACGGGUGAGUAACACGUGAGUAACCUGCUCUUGACUUUGGGAUAACUUCAGGAAACUGGGGCUAAUACCGGAUAGGAGCUCCUGCUGCAUGGUGGGGGUUGGAAAGUUUCGGCGGUUGGGGAUGGACUCGCGGCUUAUCAGCUUGUUGGUGGGGUAGUGGCUUACCAAGGCUUUGACGGGUAGCCGGCCUGAGAGGGUGACCGGCAACAUUGGGACUGUGAUACGGCCCAGACUCCUACGGGAGGCAGCAGUGGGGAAUAUUGCACAAUGGGCGGAAGCCUGAUGCAGCAACGCCGCGUGCGGGAUGACGGCCUUCGGGUUGUAAACCGCUUGCGCCUGUGACGAAGCGUGAGUGACGGUAAUGGGUAAAGAAGCACCGGCUAACUACGUG